AAGAGGUUGAUAGGAGGAAGAGUGCAGCUGUGGACCCCGCCAGAGCAUGAAGAUCUGUAGGAUCCAUUUGGAGAGGGGCACAACUGAAUCCAGCAUCUCCCUGGUGUGGGAAGCACUGACCACGUCCAAUCCUCAGCACCUAAAAGUUGUGGGGGGAGCCUUGUGCUAACAAUGCCAUGAUUCUAAUCUCGUUCAUCUGGACACCUUUCCAAAGGCCUGAUCCUGGCUGAUCUUCACCCAUGGAGAAGCUGUAAGAAGCAGUCAACAAGAGACCAAGCUGUGGCUGGACACAGCCUAUGCACAGGAAAAAAAAAAAGUGACCCAUCCUCUCCUGGGUCAUGAGAAUAUAUUACACACUUGAGGCAUGGACCCUGCAGUAGAGACCUGCCCAGCUGCUGCUGAACCAGGGAAGACACUUCAGCUGCUGACUUUAGGACAAGUCAAAUCAGGUCCUUUACUACAAUCCACCCAUGAGAUGCUGUCUCCUUGUACUCCCUUCCUGCCCCAUGUGGGAAUUUAUUUCUUGUAAACUCUUAUUGUCAUAAUAGUGACAUU